rnacentral:tRNA from 7 species
UGGGGUGUGGCGCAGCGGUAGCGCAGCGGACUGUUAAUCCGUUGGUCGUGGGUUCAAAUCCCUCCACCCCAGCCA